GGACGGCUCAGUAACACGUGGCUAACCUACCCUCGGGUGGGGGAUAACAUCGGGAAACUGAGGAUAAUACCCCAUAGGAGAAGAGGUCUGGAAUGAUCCUUCUCUGAAAACAUAUGUGCCCGAGGAUGGGGCUGCGUCUGAUUAGGUAGUUGGUGGGGUAACGGCCCACCAAGCCUACGAUCAGUACGGGCCUUGAGAGAGGCAGCCCGGAGAUGGGGACUGAGACACGGCCCCAGGCCCUACGGGGCGCAGCAGGCGCGAAACCUCCGCAAUGCACGAAAGUGCGACGGGGGGACCCCAAGUGCUUACGCACUGCGUAGGCUUUUCUAAAGUGUAAAAAGCUUUAGGAAUAAGGGCUGGGCAAGUCCGGUGCCAGCAGCCGCGGUAACACCGGCGGCCCGAGUGGUGACCACUUUUAUUGGGCCUAAAGCGUCCGUAGCCGGUCCAGUAAGUCCCUGUUUAAAUCCUACGGCUUAACCGUAGGGCUGGCAGGGAUACUGCUGGACUUGGGACCGGGAGAGGGCGAGGGUACUUCAGGGGUAGCGGUAAAAUGUGUUGAUCCCUGGAGGACCACCUAUGGCGAAGGCACUCGCCUGGAAC
rnacentral:rRNA from 1 species